GCCCGCAGGCGGGCUCGGCCGCCGCUGCCGGCACGCGCGCGGGUUCCGCCGCCGCCGCCAGCACGCGCGCAGGCGCAGGAUCCGACUACCACUCAAAAGGAGGUGCACCCAUCGAACGCCCUGAAGAGAGCUGAAGUGCUGUAGUGAUGCCUCCUUUUGAGUGGUAGUUUCCCAUGAGUUCUAUGGAUUUGCCGAUCGAAACACAGAGCAGGUAGGCUGGAGCUCCAGUACCAAGACUGCAGACAGGGCAUUCUUCUUGAAUAGAGCUGAGAAGAGUCAACUAUUUCAGCAGCAAGGCAUUACCAUAAGCAUUGGAGAAGUAACUUCCACAAUGAAGCCCAUAGUUCGUGAGAUAUGGCAAAUCCCACAAAGAGUAAAGAAGCUAAUAGAGCUCUUACCUCAUCAAGAGGUACGGUUUCUUUUUCAUCUGAACCUGCACAUGGGCUGAUUUCAUUUUGUGUGUGGGUAUGAAAUGCAACAGUCUAUGGUAAGUAAUUUAAAAAUUAGAGAACUAAUUUGCAAUUGGAUCAUCAUUUGCUUAUUGCCUAAUAAAUCCAGUAUAUGUAUAUGCAUAUAAAUACAGUAUAUGUAUAUGGAUUUGCCAGACUUUCUUUACAAUGUAAAAUAUUGCAGUGAGAAAAUUUGCUCAUAUGUGCUACAAGAAGAUGCUAUAAGUGAGCAAUUGCUUGAAAGUUCUUUCUAAUUUUAUCUGGAGCACAGGUAUGUUUCUCUGAUGAUUACCUUGAAUCAUGAACUUGCCACUUUGCAUUGCUGUUAGUUUUUUUUUUGUUAUCUUCUCUGGUUAAUUGAGUGAUCUUCUGAUGGAUGCUUAAUUCUAAUACACUUGAUCACUGAAACCCCAGAGACCCCUAGGCAAUAUAAUCUUACUCAAGUGUCAUGCUGAGAAUGAGAUAAUACACACCCUUGCAUUCUUAGCUGGUGCCAUGGUUUGGUCACAGGUACUAAUAACUCACCUCUCUAGACCAUAAUCUAUGUUAAGUCAAUUAUGUUUCCCCCCUAUCUAUAUUGCACUCUGAUUAGCUUUAAUAGUCUUUCGGCACUUAAAAUGGAAUAUGUAUAAAGUGAGAUAUUUGCUUCGUUUCGUUGAACCGGCAGCUAUAUCGUGCCAUGCUGGGUUAUCUAUGGGUAUGAUGCUAAUAAUUGUUAUGACUUAGGAGUCAGGACUGGCAUAAUUAUGUGGUCUGCACUUAAAUAUAUUUGUUUUUUUAAUCCGUA